CCUGACGUUCCGUCGUCUGUAGCCUACCGGCACAUGCGGGAUUGGCAACAAUCCGGUGUGAAGCUGCCGGGACAAUGUAGCCGGGCCCUCGGGCCGUGCGGAAGCCGUGAGGUGGAGGCAUCAUCUGCGAGCAUCGACGCGGAUCGGGCG
rfam:Rhizobium lusitanum strain P1-7 genome assembly, contig: Ga0061101_175